UACGUAGGGGGCGAGCGUUGUCCGAAGUUACUGGGCGUAAAGCGCGCGUAGGCGGGGGGUUAAGUGAGAGGUGAAAGGCUGGGGCUCAACCUCAUGCAGUGCCUCUCAUACUGGCCUUCUUGAGGGCGGUAGGGAGAAGUGGAAUGGCUGGUGUAGCGGUGAAAUGCGUAGAUAUCAGGAGGAACACCGGUGGUGUAGACGGCUUUCUGGACCGUAACUGACGCUGAGACACGAAAGCGUGGGUAGCAAACAGG
rnacentral:rRNA from 1 species